UUAAGCGACUAAGCGUACACGGUGGAUGCCCUGGCAGUCAGAGGCGAUGAAGGGCGUGCUAAUCUGCGAUAAGCGCCGGUAAGGUGAUAUGAACCGUUAUAACCGGCGAUACCCGAAUGGGGAAACCCAGUGUGAUUCGUCACACUAUCAUUAACUGAAUCCAUAGGUUAAUGAGGCGAACCGGGGGAACUGAAACAUCUAAGUACCCGAGGAAAAGAAAUCAACCGAGAUUCCCCCAGUAGCGGCGAGCGAACGGGGAGGAGCCCAGAGCCUGAAUCAGCAUGUGUGUUAGUGGAAGCGUCUGGAAAGGCGCGCGAUACAGGGUGACAGCCCCGUACACAAAAGCGCAUGUGCUGUGAGCUCGAUGAGUAGGGCGGGACACGUGGUAUCCUGUCUGAAUAUGGGGGGACCAUCCUCCAAGGCUAAAUACUCCUGACUGACCGAUAGUGAACCAGUACCGUGAGGGAAAGGCGAAAAGAACCCCGGCGAGGGGAGUGAAAAAGAACCUGAAACCGUGUACGUACAAGCAGUGGGAGCACAGGUUUACCUGUGUGACUGCGUACCUUUUGUAUAAUGGGUCAGCGACUUAUAUUCUGUAGCAAGGUUAACCGAAUAGGGGAGCCGGAGGGAAACCGAGUCUUAAUUGGGCGUUAAGUUGCAGGGUAUAGACCCGAAACCCGGUGAUCUAGCCAUGGGCAGGUUGAAGGUUGGGUAACACUAACUGGAGGACCGAACCGACUAAUGUUGAAAAAUUAGCGGAUGACCUGUGGCUGGGGGUGAAAGGCCAAUCAAACCGGGAGAUAGCUGGUUCUCCCCGAAAGCUAUUUAGGUAGCGCCUCGUGAAUUCAUCUCCGGGGGUAGAGCACUGUUUUCGGCUAGGGGGCCAUCCCGGCUUACCAACCCGAUGCAAACUGCGAAUACCGGAGAAUGUUAUCACGGGAGACACACGGCGGGUGCUAACGUCCGUCGUGAAGGAGGGAAACAACCCAGACCGCCAGCUAAGGUCCCAAAGUCAUGGUUAAGUGGGAAACGAUGUGGGAAGGCCCAGACAGCCAGGAUGUUGGCUUAGAAGCAGCCAUCAUUUAAAGAAAGCGUAAUAGCUCACUGGUCGAGUCGGCCUGCGCGGAAGAUGUAACGGGGCUAAACCAUGCACCGAAGCUGCGGCAGCGAACGUAUCACUUAAAGCGAUUCAGCGGGUUACGAUUGACGGAGCGAAGCGACGUCAAAGCGUAUACAAAGUCGAGUCGGUUUAAGGAUACGUUCGUUGGGUAGGGAGCGUUCUGUAAGCCUGUGAAGGUGGCCUGUGAGGGUUGCUGGAGGUAUCAGAAGUGCGAAUGCUGACAUAAGUAACGAUAAAGCGGGUGAAAAGCCCGCUCGCCGGAAGACCAAGGGUUCCUGUCCAACGUUAAUCGGGGCAGGGUGAGUCGACCCCUAAGGCGAGGCCGAAAGGCGUAGUCGAUGGGAAACAGGUUAAUAUUCCUGUACUUGGUGUUACUGCGAAGGGGGGACGGAGAAGGCUAUGUUGGCCGGGCGACGGUUGUCCCGGUUUAAGCGUGUAGGCUGGUUUUCCAGGCAAAUCCGGAAAAUCAAGGCUGAGGCGUGAUGACGAGGCACUACGGUGCUGAAGCAACAAAUGCCCUGCUUCCAGGAAAAGCCUCUAAGCAUCAGGUAACAUCAAAUCGUACCCCAAACCGACACAGGUGGUCAGGUAGAGAAUACCAAGGCGCUUGAGAGAACUCGGGUGAAGGAACUAGGCAAAAUGGUGCCGUAACUUCGGGAGAAGGCACGCUGACACGUAGGUGAAGUGAUUUUACUCAUGGAGCUGAAGUCAGUCGAAGAUACCAGCUGGCUGCAACUGUUUAUUAAAAACACAGCACUGUGCAAACACGAAAGUGGACGUAUACGGUGUGACGCCUGCCCGGUGCCGGAAGGUUAAUUGAUGGGGUCAGCGCAAGCGAAGCUCCUGAUCGAAGCCCGGUAAACGGCGGCCGUAACUAUAACGGUCCUAAGGUAGCGAAAUUCCUUGUCGGGUAAGUUCCGACCUGCACGAAUGGCGUAAUGAUGGCCAGGCUGUCUCCACCCGAGACUCAGUGAAAUUGAACUCGCUGUGAAGAUGCAGUGUACCCGCGGCAAGACGGAAAGACCCCGUGAACCUUUACUAUAGCUUGACACUGAACAUUGAGCCUUGAUGUGUAGGAUAGGUGGGAGGCUUUGAAGUGUGGACGCCAGUCUGCAUGGAGCCGACCUUGAAAUACCACCCUUUAAUGUUUGAUGUUCUAACGUGGACCCGUGAUCCGGGUUGCGGACAGUGUCUGGUGGGUAGUUUGACUGGGGCGGUCUCCUCCUAAAGAGUAACGGAGGAGCACGAAGGUUGGCUAAUCCUGGUCGGACAUCAGGAGGUUAGUGCAAUGGCAUAAGCCAGCUUGACUGCGAGCGUGACGGCGCGAGCAGGUGCGAAAGCAGGUCAUAGUGAUCCGGUGGUUCUGAAUGGAAGGGCCAUCGCUCAACGGAUAAAAGGUACUCCGGGGAUAACAGGCUGAUACCGCCCAAGAGUUCAUAUCGACGGCGGUGUUUGGCACCUCGAUGUCGGCUCAUCACAUCCUGGGGCUGAAGUAGGUCCCAAGGGUAUGGCUGUUCGCCAUUUAAAGUGGUACGCGAGCUGGGUUUAGAACGUCGUGAGACAGUUCGGUCCCUAUCUGCCGUGGGCGCUGGAGAACUGAGGGGGGCUGCUCCUAGUACGAGAGGACCGGAGUGGACGCAUCACUGGUGUUCGGGUUGUCAUGCCAAUGGCACUGCCCGGUAGCUAAAUGCGGAAGAGAUAAGUGCUGAAAGCAUCUAAGCACGAAACUUGCCCCGAGAUGAGUUCUCCCUGAGACUUAGAGUCUCCUGAAGGAACGUUGAAGACGACGACGUUGAUAGGCCGGGUGUGUAAGCGCAGCGAUGCGUUGAGCUAACCGGUACUAAUGAACCGUGAGGCUUAACCUU
rnacentral:rRNA from 1 species